ACAGCGGGAGGGACAUUACCGAGUUUACAACUCCCAAACCCAAUGUGAACGUUACCAAACUGUUGCCUCGGCGGGGUCACGCCCCGGGUGCGUCGCAGCCCCGGAACCAGGCGCCCGCCGGAGGAACCAACCAAACUCUUUCUGUAGUCCCCUCGCGGACGUAUUUCUUACAGCUCUGAGCAAAAAUUCAAAAUGAAUCAAAACUUUCAACAACGGAUCUCUUGGUUCUGGCAUCGAUGAAGAACGCAGCGAAAUGCGAUAAGUAAUGUGAAUUGCAGAAUUCAGUGAAUCAUCGAAUCUUUGAACGCACAUUGCGCCCGCCAGUAUUCUGGCGGGCAUGCCUGUCCGAGCGUCAUUUCAACCCUCGAACCCCUCCGGGGGAUCGGCGUUGGGGAUCGGGACCCCUCACACGGGUGCCGGCCCCGAAAUACAGUGGCGGUCUCGCCGCAGCCUCUCCUGCGCAGUAGUUUGCACAACUCGCACCGGGAGCGCGGCGCGUCCACGUCCGUAAAACACCCAACUUUCUGAAAUGUUGACCUCGGAUCAGGUAGGAAUACCCGCUGAACUUAAGCAUAUCAAAGGCCGGGAGGAAG
rnacentral:rRNA from 1 species